rnacentral:rRNA from 1 species
GACGAACGCUGGCGGCGUGCUUAACACAUGCAAGUCGAACGGAAAGACCCUGCUUUUGUGGGGUUCUCGAGUGGCGAACGGGUGGGUAACACGUGAGUAACCUGCCCUUGACUUUGUGAUAACUUCAGGAAACUGGGGCUAAUACCGGAUAGGAUCUCCUGCUGCAUGGUGGGGGUUGGAAAGUUUCGGCGGUGGUGGAUGGACUCGAGGCUUAUCAGCUGGUUGGUGGGGUAGUGGCUUACCAAGGCUUUGACGGGUAGCCGGCCUGGGAGGGUGACCGGCGACAUUGGGACUGAGGUAGGGCCCAGAAUCGUACGGGCGGCAGCAGUGGGAAAUAUUGCACAAUGGGCGGAAGCCUGAUGCAACGACGCCGCGUGCGGAAUGACGGACUUCGGGUUGUAAACAGAUUUCGACUGUGACGAAGCGUGAGUGACGGUAAUGGGUAAAGAAGCACCGGCUAACUACGUG